AUUUUUUAGGUAAUCCCCAUAAUUAUUGUAUCAAUACUUCAUAAAAUAUCCAUAGGUUUAACUCGAUUGGAGUCAAUCAUUCUCAAAACCACUAUAAUAGGAAAUAAGUGACCCAAAUCCAAGUCCUCCAUUGUAGCAAUGUGAUUGCUCAUUUUACUUAUUCCGAAAGAAACCUCCCAGAAUAAACAUGUAUAAGAAGAUUCGAACACGAAGAAAGACCACAUAUAUGAGCUCCAAUUGUUAGAAUCAUGCAAUUAACCGCUACUGUUGAAUACUUACCAUACCGAAGAAUACUUAACUUUUCCUCCUAUUGUCCACUCUCUCAAAUCAAUACAAUAAUAUCCACGACAACGAUUUCAGUACCCUGUGUAAUUCACAAACACACAAGCAUAUACCAAACCCUGGAACAAAUAACUUCCAAUCCGCAAAAUCUGAUCAAGAUAAUUCCUUCGAUUACAAUUCCUCUCCACUGAACUUACAACCUUGCAAUAAAUAGUGACUGAAAACUUCCAUAUGUCCUCAAUCUUUCACAACAAUUGAUAAACAAUGAUCCAUAAAUAACUUCGUAAAUCAAACAUUAAUUCAUUAAAUCGAUUCUCUUCACUAGAAUCAACACUAACACAAAAGAAAUAAAAAAACUAAGAAGAAGAUAUAGCACCAAGCUUAUCCCCGACUCAGUACUAUUGCAGUCUGGUAUUUUCUUCCCCUCUUCCAUCUUCCUUAUACUACCCCAAGAUACCAACUCCUAUACUACAGAUGAUAACUACUUUUCUUGACUAUUCAUCCAUUCUACCUGCUGAACCACCUUUUCAGCAGUUAUCUAUUCUUGUUUACACUAUACACUAGGUAUCUACAUUUUGAAAAUAACUACUUAUUUUACAUAGCCCCACUCCUAACUGUGCAGCAUCCCUGCAAACAAAGUAUUGAUAAACAAAAAUCAAUCCCUUUUUUUUUAACUGGAUUGUUCAAUCUCUUCGAUUUCUGGCGUUGGCUCCAUUUAAUCUUAUUCCAAUACUAUAUCUUCUUCCUCCGACUCGUCUUGAAUCUUUGCCCUUAAUUGAGCUGUUAAAUCUUCAUUAUACGCUCCUAAUUCUCGAACCUAAGCUUCCAAUUUGAAGAUUCUAACAUCUUUAAUUUCUAGUUGUUGCUGCUGCUGUUACAAUUUCUCCUCUAAUUUUCCAAUUCUUACUCCUGUUGAGGCAAAUGUCUGUCACUGACCAAUACUAAUCAAAUCACUCUCCAAUUUCUUUAUUGUUUCCUUCAAAACAUCAAUUUCUGCCUGUAGCUCAUCCAUAUUGUUUCGAUAUUGGUCAUCCAAUUAUUUUUUUUCAAGCUCCAAUGCCUCCUUCUUCUCUCGUUCCAUCUUCAACUGAGCAUUCAUCUUCUCUUAUUCCAAUCUAUACGAUUUGCAAGUUUGUAGUAAUUCUUGCCUUUGAUUUUUCAGGAUAUGCUGAAUCCUUUGUUUUUCCUUUGACCAGUUUUCCACUUUUUCAUCCAAUUCACGUUUCACUCGUAUCUUGGAUUUCGAUUCUACCUUAAUGACUUAUUAUUGUUCCUUGAUUUUAUAAUUUUGUUCCAAUAUUAUUUUCUUACUCGCUUCCACUUGCCGUUUUAAGCUACCCUCAUCUUCGAGCUUACUCACCGUAAGUUGAAGCUAGGAAAUUUGACCCAAUAUAACUUUCUUAAGAUUUCACCCUUUCGUUACACCCCGUUGAAACCCUAAUUGGUUGCUUUUCCUUGGAACUAGUAUUGGUGUCGUCAUCUCUAUUGUCGACCAAAUUGGAACUCUCUCUAGUGUAGCUAUUGGUCUUGCUUCUUGUUCUCUUCCAAUCCUUCCAUUGGCUCCUGCUUCAACUGAGCUGAAAGGUCUUCAUUGUACUCGCCCAAUUCACGGACUAGAGCUUCUAAUUUCAAGAUCUGGACAUCUUUCAAUUCCAAUUGGCGCUGAAAGUGACUCCUCUCUUCUGGAAUAUUUUUAAUUGACACUUGUGACUGACUCCUCACUGUUAACUCUUAACUGAAACUACUACUCUCGAAAAUACAAGAAAUACAAGAAAAUGGCACUCCAGCCAACCCAAAACAACACCACAGAAUGACUUUAACUGGUGCCCCACUCCUAUUCUUUUACUACCUAGUGAUAAUGACAACAUGUUAGCCAUACUGUCCGUGAAAGGUAAUGAGAAGUAAUCUUUCUUGGUGGCUGCAUUAAGUGUUCAGAAAUCCUGAGAAAUCCUGAUUUUUCUAUUCUUCUUCGAUACCAUCACGAUUGGUGAUAUCCAUGCACUAUGCGGAACAAGAUAAAUAAAACCCACAUCGAGAAGUUUAUCCAAUUCCUCUUUCACUAAAAGGAAAUAUUUUGGAUUAAACCGGUGUUGUCUUUGACAAACUGGCGUAAUACCCUCCUCCAAAAUAAUCUGGUGCUCACACACCUCGGUUCGAAUCCCUUUCAAAUCCACAUACGAUCACGCAUAGGCAGAUUUGUGAUGGACAAAAAACUGUUUCCAAGCAUCCAAUUCUGUAUCGAUAAUAUCGGCAUAUAUUUUAAUUAGCUGUGGCAUUUUUUUGGUGCCCAGGUUAAUGGAUUGAUACACAGGGUCUUCAACAACCUCUAAUUUAAUUAUCUUUUCUUGAUCUAAAUAUCUUCUAUUAUUUGACAUAUGAGAACCAUCCAAAUCUGGUUCCAAUGUGUUGACUCUAUUCACUACGAAAUUAUUCAUCCAUUCAACAAUAGCAUAAUCCGAGUUAAUCACAUCCUCCUGAUACAGUAAAUAUUCACCGAGACCUCCACAUUGAUAGAUUCCUACCUUUGCUGUUGAAGUAUUUUAUCCUACUUCAAAUUAUAGUAAACCUAUAGCAUCAUCAUCUGCCUCAAUCGAUUGACUCUCAUUGUCUGAUGUAAAUUCUGAUUCUGGCAAUUGAGAUUUUCCAUGACAUUGUACCGGGUACAUCUGUAAAACAAUCUAGUCAUGGCCUUUUCCAAUUGUCAAUGUGCCUCAGCCCCAAUCGUUCUUAGCUUUGGCUUGAUAAAGCCAAGGUCUCUCCAAUAAAAUGAGAUACGAUAAUGUAGAACUCUGUAAUCGGAAUACAAUAUAAUCAAUUUUGUAUAACAAUCCCAUGAUUACAGUGGCAAUAUUUCAUAAGAUUCCCAUUGGUUUUACCUGACUAUGAUCUACCAUUCGCAAGACCAAUGUCGUAGGUAGCAAUUGCUUUAGAUUCAAGUCCUCCAUUGUAUCCACGUUCAUUAAAUUUACACUAGAGCCACCAUCGACUUGUAUCUCUGGACUUAAAAUGCCAUCGAUUGAUACAUCGAUUGUUGGUGCUCCCAGAUCUGGAUUUAAGCUAACUUCAUGAAUUUCUUUAGUGCGAGAUCUUUGUAGUAUUAAUGCUAAAUUCAAUGUAGAUCGACAUUUCGAUGCUACAGCCAAAAGUUGCUUCAUUGUAAUUGAAGGCUUAAUAACAUCCAAAUCCUUCAGAAUGUCGUAGGAUUCUAUAUUGAGAGUAAUUUCCAAUGUUCUUUUGCGUUUCAUUGGUUUUGAUUUUACUCCGUUCGGUAGCAAUUCCUUCCUGGCGAUUGGGAUUGCUGUUGAUAACUUUGCCAAUUUUCCUACCGCUAAAGGUUCCUUUAAUGCAUAAGAUCUUUUAUUGGACUGUACAGGUAUUGGUAGUUGGUCAGUUGGGAUCGUUUUUGAUAGUCCCGACAAAUUGGCAUGUGGAACCGAAUUGAGUUCCUCAGUCUGUUGAGGUCUCAAUAUUGGAAUACGUCCCAAUACUGAUAUUGGUUUGUUUAGCUAUAUGGACGACGCUACUUGCUCUCCUGUGAUUGGUUCAUCCCGGUUCUAAAUUAGAUUCUUGUCUUUUUAUUGGCCUCUGGUAAGUACUGUGUUCACCACCUCGACACGAUGUACUGGUGAGUCUCGUUGAACAGGGCCUUUGUCCUCCGCUGGUUGGCUUAUUUGUAUUUGCUAGUUUCGAUUAUUAUAAUUAAAGAGCAUAUUGCACUGCUCAUAAGUAUGUCUAGACUGCUUACAAUUUCCACAUAUUGGAGCAUAGUCAUCACUGGCCCUUGGAUUAGGAGAUUCACUUGCAUAAUGUCUGAUUUUUCUCCAACGAUAGCAACAAAGUGGUCUCCUGCCAAUUCCUUUAAGGAUAAUGGGUGUCUCUGCUCGUAUAUAAUGGCUAGAUCUGUUCCAUGUCAGAUGAGUAAAGGAUCCUGAUUGAUCCAUUGUUGCUGUAGACUCUGGCAUUGGCUUUGUCAUGGGUAGAUAUUAAUGGUAUCCUAGUUGAUUCAUCGCCAAUCCGUGAGUACUGAAUAUACCUUCUUGGUAAAAUUCAGAGUUGAAAAAAUUAGAAUAAUUCUUGUUUUAUUUAUUUGCUCAAUUUCCAUUCCAACCAAACCUAUUAUUUGUUUGGACUUGAUUGACAUCCCACGAAGUUGGUUGAGUCAUUAUCUGGUUACCGAGUUGUUGUUGCUUCCAUAAAUUCUAACAGUUGAUAAUAAUAUGCUUGCCCCAAAAAAGGUACAUUCUAUAGUCAUUUGGUGUGGUGAAGGACAUUUUGUUACUAAAUGACCUUGCCCCUUACAAUUAUUGCACCAGACAUUGGGACGCAUAUUGAUUGGUUUAUGCUUUUUUUCUUUAUCCUUGGUCAAAUUCACAUCCAAUUCAUCCAUUUUUUUUAUCAAUAUUAAUAGCAAUGACUCAUUGAGAUCCCUUGAUACCAAUGCAUUUGGCAAUUCCUUCAUAGGUGUUGGUUUUUGAUACAUGGAAUAAGGCGCAUACGAGUGUGAUGAUGAUAGUGGUACAGCUUGUAAUGAAACGACAUCUAUGAUUCCCUAUGGAAUUGUACCAUAAUCAUUCCUUCCCAGAUAACCUUCCGAUGUAUCAUUCCAAUUUUUCAUUUGAUAACCUUCUUGAGAUGGAAUCAUCGUGGCUCCAACUGUUAAGUUCAGGUCAUAGUGACAUUCCUCCCACACUUUCGCUUGCUCAAGAGAUGAUGCAAUGGUGGCUGAUUGGGCCUCCUUUACAAACAUCUUCAAUUCUGGUGGGUGUAGUCCAUGAACUAAUAUGGACAACAAAAACGAUUUCGGUAUUUGAUUAUUUGGCCAUUUUCGAAGUAUAUCUGCUAUGCGACAAUAAUAUGACUGUACCGCUUCCCUUGGUACCAUUCUGCUGUUCAUUAAUUUUUCAUUAAGACGUUCUUCAAAACCAAUUGAUCAAAAAUGGGCUAAAAAUAUAUUUUUCAAUGCCUCCCAAUUGAUAAAUUGUCCCACAGGUUGGCGGUUAUACCAAUCAAACGUUGUAUCUUUCAAUGUUGCUAGCAGUAAUUUCAACCAAAUAUCUUCUGUUCUUCCAUUAUUAGCUACACAUGCCGUCAAGAAUUGAGACAAAUAUUGAUCUGGAUCUACACCUCGCAAAUCCCAAAAAGUAGGUAAUGGUGUGAUGCUAGUCGUUCGAUUAUCUACUAUAUCCAUUUGUACUGCAAUCGAAAUGACUGGUCCUUUGGACGUCAUUAAAGAUGCCGGUGUUCUGCUCAAUUCCUUAUUAAAAUAAAAACUGUCACUUGCAAAAGUCUUUUUCAGACUUCUAGGCCUUUCCAAUUGACUAUUAUUAUUCCCAAAUAAUUUAACGAUUGAAUAUGAGGUGAAAACGAUAGGUUUUGAUAUACUCUGAAUUGGUCUUUAUUGGCAAGUGAUUUAUGCUGAUCUUCAGAAACAGUCUUGUUAGGAUCGGACGUAUUUUUAAUUGAAAAAAUACCCAAUGGAGUACCUAAUUCCUCUGUGCCUUCCUCGUUUUCCGUUAACGGCUUCAAGAGGUAUGCUGGACUAUUAGCAGCACUUUUCGCAAGUGCUCUUGGCAAUUUCUUUAACGGUAUGUACUUCUGAAAUAUUAGAGGUCGAUCAUCUGCUAUGUACGAUCGAAUAUGCCGAUAGGCAUGCAACCAUGGCUUAAUCCAACUUUGUCGAUGUUUCUUUUUUAAUUUGCGAUCUCCCUCAUUAUGCAACAAAUUUCUUGCUUGCGAUCACUCUGUUCUUUUCUUUGAUUGCUUUAUUCUCUUUGCUGUUAAAUUUUCAUUCUUAAUAAUCAUACUCUUUCAUUAUUUCUACUGAGUUUGCUUCCUAAUCUCCUUUACUGCUUCGACAGUUAAUUCCUAACACUCAAUAAUGUUGUCAAUCCUCGGCAGCAGUGCCAAAAUGUGAUUGCUCGUCUUACUUAUUCCAAAAGAAACUUCCUAGAUUAAAUCCAUAUAGGGAAAUUCAAACACGAAGAAAGACCAUGUAUAUGAGCUCCAAUUAUUAGAGUCACGCAAUUAACCGCUACUAUUGAAUGCUUACCAUACCAAAGAACACUUAACUUUUCCUCCUAUUGUCUACUCUCUCAUAUCAAUACAAUAAUAUCCACGACAACGAUUUUAGUAUCCUGUAUAAUUCAUGAACACACAAGCAUAUCCCAAAUCCUAAAACGAAUAACUUCCAAUCCACAAAAUCUGAUCAAGAUAAUUCCUUCGAUUACAAUUCUUUUCCACUGAACUUAUAACCUUGCGAUAAAUAGUGACUGAAAACUUCCAUACGUCCUCAAUCUUUUAUAACAAUUGAUAAAUAGUGAUCCAUAAAAAACUUCGUAAAUCAAACAUUAAUUCAUUAAAUUGAUUCUCUUCACUAGAAUCAACACUAACACAAAAGAAAUAAGAAAACUAAAAAGAAGAGAUAGCACCAAGCUUAUCCCCGGCUCAAUACUAUCGCAGUCUGGUAUUUUCUUCCCCUCUCCCGUCCUCCUUAUACUACCCCGAGAUACCAACUCAUAUACUAUAGAUGAUAACUAUUUUUCCUCACUAUUCAUCCAUUCUACUUGCUGAACCACCUUUUCAGCAGUUAUCUAUCC
rnacentral:lncRNA from 1 species